rnacentral:rRNA from 1 species
AGAGUUUGAUCAUGGCUCAGAUUGAACGCUGGCGGCAGGCCUAACACAUGCAAGUCGAACGGUAACAGGAAGCAGCUUGCUGCUUCGCUGACGAGUGGCGGACGGGUGAGUAAUGUCUGGGAAACUGCCUGAUGGAGGGGGAUAACUACUGGAAACGGUGGCUAAUACCGCAUAACGUCGCAAGACCAAAGAGGGGGACCUUCGGGCCUCUUGCCAUCAGAUGUGCCCAGAUGGGAUUAGCUUGUUGGUGAGGUAACGGCUCACCAAGGCGACGAUCCCUAGCUGGUCUGAGAGGAUGACCAGCCACACUGGAACUGAGACACGGUCCAGACUCCUACGGGAGGCAGCAGUGGGGAAUAUUGCACAAUGGGCGCAAGCCUGAUGCAGCCAUGCCGCGUGUAUGAAGAAGGCCUUCGGGUUGUAAAGUACUUUCAGCGGGGAGGAAGGUGUUGCGGUUAAUAACCGCAGCAAUUGACGUUACCCGCAGAAGAAGCACCGGCUAACUCCGUGCCAGCAGCCGCGGUAAUACGGAGGGUGCAAGCGUUAAUCGGAAUUACUGGGCGUAAAGCGCACGCAGGCGGUCUGUCAAGUCGGAUGUGAAAUCCCCGGGCUCAACCUGGGAACUGCAUUCGAAACUGGCAGGCUUGAGUCUUGUAGAGGGGGGUAGAAUUCCAGGUGUAGCGGUGAAAUGCGUAGAGAUCUGGAGGAAUACCGGUGGCGAAGGCGGCCCCCUGGACAAAGACUGACGCUCAGGUGCGAAAGCGUGGGGAGCAAACAGGAUUAGAUACCCUGGUAGUCCACGCCGUAAACGAUGUCUACUUGGAGGUUGUGCCCUUGAGGCGUGGCUUCCGGAGCUAACGCGUUAAGUAGACCGCCUGGGGAGUACGGCCGCAAGGUUAAAACUCAAAUGAAUUGACGGGGGCCCGCACAAGCGGUGGAGCAUGUGGUUUAAUUCGAUGCAACGCGAAGAACCUUACCUGGUCUUGACAUCCACGGAAGUUUUCAGAGAUGGAAUGUGCCUUCGGGAACCGUGAGACAGGUGCUGCAUGGCUGUCGUCAGCUCGUGUUGUGAAAUGUUGGGUUAAGUCCCGCAACGAGCGCAACCCUUAUCCUUUGUUGCCAGCGAUUAGGUCGGGAACUCAAAGGAGACUGCCAGUGAUAAACUGGAGGAAGGUGGGGAUGACGUCAAGUCAUCAUGGCCCUUACGACCAGGGCUACACACGUGCUACAAUGGCGCAUACAAAGAGAAGCGACCUCGCGAGAGCAAGCGGACCUCAUAAAGUGCGUCGUAGUCCGGAUUGGAGUCUGCAACUCGACUCCAUGAAGUCGGAAUCGCUAGUAAUCGUGGAUCAGAAUGCCACGGUGAAUACGUUCCCGGGCCUUGUACACACCGCCCGUCACACCAUGGGAGUGGGUUGCAAAAGAAGUAGGUAGCUUAACCUUCGGGAGGGCGCUUACCACUUUGUGAUUCAUGACUGGGGUGAAGUCGUAACAAGGUAACCGUAGGGGAACCUGCGGUUG